AAACAUAUGAGUUUGAUCCUGGCUCAGGAUGAACGCUAGUAGUAUGCUUAACACAUGCAAGUCAAACGGAAGUUUUAGUUUUCGUGGCGUACGGGUGAGUACUCGUAGAAUUUUCCCUUUCAGUUUAGGACAAAAACUUAUUUAUUAAGUUUAAAUACUAAAUAGUUAUAAAGGUUAAUUCCGCUGAAAGAUAAAUCUGCAUAAGAUUAGGUUGUUGGUGAAUUAAAAGCUCACCAAGCCCAUGAUCUUUAGUUGGUCUUGGAGGAUGAUCAACCACACUGGAACUGAAAUAAGGUCCAGGCUGACACGUCGGCCAGCAGUGAGGAAUAUUGGAGUGCGACCUGUUCAAGGGUGAAGAAAUAAAGUACGAGCUCUUGGGUAUUGACAUUUUUGUUGUAUUAACUUUAAAAUCUUGGGAACCUUGCGUUCCCCCUUUCGUAGGUAAAUUAAGGAAAAGCGUAACCUAUAUAUGGAGAAUUGUUAUCAAAGUAUAAAGCUGGGUUAAACGAGGUGAAAAACUGAAAGAGACUCAGUUUGACGAACUGCUAGCAAGUGUGUUAGGGUAAAGAUAUAUCUAUUUUUUACCAUAGUUGACGUAAGGAAGUUGUAUUAAAACGUCGUAAUUCCUCAAGCAGGGGGAGAAUGUCUCUUCCUUCAGGUUACUGAAGAAGUCCCUGCGAUCGAAACAUCGAUAAAAGCAAGCGUAUAAGGUCCCGCCAUUAGACGCUUAUUAUCUACACGCAGCUUCGGCGUAGAGCAACCAACUACUAACAUAAAAAGAUUUUAAGGAACAGGGUAAGCCUUGAUACUCUUCUUUUCAUUGAAAAGAUACGGUUACUAGCUUUAUGGGUAUUAAAGGUAGAGGAUUUAGUAAAAAGCGAAUGGUUAUUUGUAAUGAAUAAUAUAUGCCCACUUACUAACUAGUUUCAGAUAAGUUAUUUUUCUUUAAUUAAAAGUUAAAUCUAGUCAAUUAAAGCAGCAAAUGACUGGAAAUUGAUGUGAGACUAGCAAUGAACGAAAGUUUGAUCCAGCAAUACUAACUGGGUGAUGACGGCUUAUUUAAGUUGUAAGAUCCUUUAAUUAAAGAAGAUAAUGACAUUAUUUAAUUGAAUUUAGUCCUGGCUAAUACUCGUGCCAGCAGCCGCGGUAAUACGGGAAGGGCAAGCGUUAUCCGGCAUGACUGGGCGUAAAGAGUCCGUAGACGGUAAAGUAAGUUUUUUGUCAAAAUUUAAGACCCAAUCUUAUAGUAGCAAUUAACACUGCUUUACUUUGAGUUUAAUGCAGAAAAGUAGAAUUUUAUACGACAGGGGUGAAAUCCGUAGAUAUAUAAAGGAAUGUCAAUAGCGAAGGCAACUUUUUAGCAUAAACUGACGUUGAGGGACGAAAGCAUGGGUAGCAAACAGGAUUAGAGACCCUGGUAGUCCAUGCCGUAAAUUCUGAGUGCUGUAAUUUAAUUGUAAUAUAUUUCAAAUAUUACUUAGAUUUUCAAGCUAACGCAAUAAGCACUCCGCCUGAGGAGUACGAUCGCAAGAUUGGAACUCAAAGGAAUUGACGGGGGUCUAACACUAGUGGUGGAGCAUGUGGUUUAAUGCGAUAAUCCGCGCAAAAUCUUACCAAUUCUUGACAUAGUUAAAUCGUUAUGCAAAUUAAUGUAGUUUUUUAUGUAUAACAUUUUUUUACAGGUGUUGCACGACUGUCGUCAGCUCGUGUCGUGAGAUGUUUGGUUAAGUCCUGAAACGGGCGCAACUCUUACUUUUAAAAAAGUUUUUACGUAUUAAAAAGUUUUUUGUCAAAAACUUUUUAAAUGCUUUAAAAGUACGGUCAACGAUAAGUUGAAGGAAGGUAAGAAUAAAGUCAAGUCAAUGUGACCCUAAUGAAUUGGGCUACACAUGUGCUACAAUGAAAAUUACAAAAAGUGACAAAAAAGAAAUUUUGCGUUAAUCCACAAAAAUUUUCCCAGUUCGAAUUGCAGACUGCAACUCGUCUGUAUGAAGUUGGAAUCACUAGUAAUCGCAAAUCAGCACGUUGCGGUGAACAUGUAACUUGACCUUGUACACACCGCCCGUCACUUGCAAAGAGUUAGUUUUGCUUGAAGGUUUUAAUCAAACCCAUUGAGAGAUUAACAAUUUGGAUGAAGUCGUAACAAGGUAGCUGUACGGGAACGUGUAGCUGGAACAUAAUGAAA
rnacentral:rRNA from 1 species